UACAGAGGUCUCGAGCGUUAGGCGGAAUCACUGGGCUUAAAGCGUGUGUAGGCGGAUCGUUAAGUACCUUGUGAAAUCCCACGGCUUAACCGUGGAACUGCUUGGUAUACUGGUCGUCUUGAGCCAUCUAGGGGCUGUCGGAACAAAUGGUGGAGCGGUGAAAUGCGUAGAUAUCAUUUGGAACGCCAAAGGUGAAAACAGACAGCUGGGGAUGUGCUGACGCUGAGACACGAAAGCCAGGGGAGCGAACGGG
rnacentral:rRNA from 1 species